rnacentral:rRNA from 1 species
GAUGAACGCUGGCGGCGUGCUUAACACAUGCAAGUCGAACGGAAAGGCCCAAGCUUGCUUGGGUACUCGAGUGGCGAACGGGUGAGUAACACGUGGGUGAUCUGCCCUGCACUUCGGGAUAAGCCUGGGAAACUGGGUCUAAUACCGGAUAGGACGAUGGUUUGGAUGCCAUUGUGGAAAGUUUUUUCGGUGUGGGAUGAGCUCGCGGCCUAUCAGCUUGUUGGUGGGGUAAUGGCCUACCAAGGCGUCGACGGGUAGCCGGCCUGAGAGGGUGUACGGCCACAUUGGGACUGAGAUACGGUCCAGACUCCUACGGGAGGCAGCAGUGGGGAAUAUUGCACAAUGGGCGCAAGCCUGAUGCAGCGACGCCGCGUGGGGGAUGACGGCCUUCGGGUUGUAAACUCCUUUCGCUAGGGACGAAGCGUUUUUGUGACGGUACCUGGAGAAGAAGCACCGGCUAACUACGUG